AAUCAACGCUGGCGGCGUGCCUCAGACAUGCAAGUCGAACGAUUAAGACUUCCUUCGGGAAGUGUAUAAAGUGGCGCACGGGUGAGUAACACGUAAGUAAUCUACCCUCGAGUGGGGAAUAACAUCGGGAAACCGAUGCUAAUACCGCAUAACGCAGCGGCACCGCAAGGUGACAGUUGUUAAAGGAGCAAUCCGCUUGAGGAGGAGCUUGCGGCAGAUUAGCUAGUUGGUGAGGUAAUGGCUCACCAAGGCGACGAUCUGUAUCCGGCCUGAGAGGGCGGUCGGACACACUGACACUGAAUAACGGGUCAGACUCCUACGGGAGGCAGCAGUCGGGAAUUUUGGGCAAUGGGCGAAAGCCUGACCCAGCAACGCCGCGUGAGGGAUGAAGUAUUUCGGUAUGUAAACCUCGAAAGAAUGGGAAGAAUAAAUGACGGUACCAUUUAUAAGCUCCGGCUAACUACGUGCCAGCAGCCGC
rnacentral:rRNA from 1 species